rnacentral:rRNA from 1 species
AUUGAACGCUGGCGGCAUGCUUUACACAUGCAAGUCGAACGGCAGCACGGGCUUCGGCCUGGUGGCGAGUGGCGAACGGGUGAGUAAUACAUCGGAACGUACCCAGAAGUGGGGGAUAACGCAGCGAAAGUUGCGCUAAUACCGCAUACGUUCUACGGAAGAAAGUGGGGGAUCUUCGGACCUCAUGCUUUUGGAGCGGCCGAUGUCUGAUUAGCUAGUUGGUGGGGUAAAGGCUCACCAAGGCGACGAUCAGUAGCUGGUCUGAGAGGACGACCAGCCACACUGGAACUGAGACACGGUCCAGACUCCUACGGGAGGCAGCAGUGGGGAAUUUUGGACAAUGGGCGCAAGCCUGAUCCAGCAAUGCCGCGUGAGUGAAGAAGGCCUUCGGGUUGUAAAGCUCUUUUGUCAGGGAAGAAACGGUUGGGGCUAAUAUCCCCGGCUAAUGACGGUACCUGAAGAAUAAGCACCGGCUAACUACGUGCCAGCAGCCGCGGUAAUACGUAGGGUGCAAGCGUUAAUCGGAAUUACUGGGCGUAAAGCGUGCGCAGGCGGUUUUGUAAGUCUGUCGUGAAAGCCCCGGGCUCAACCUGGGAAUUGCGAUGGAGACUGCAAGGCUUGAAUCUGGCAGAGGGGGGUAGAAUUCCACGUGUAGCAGUGAAAUGCGUAGAGAUGUGGAGGAACACCGAUGGCGAAGGCAGCCCCCUGGGUCAAGAUUGACGCUCAUGCACGAAAGCGUGGGGAGCAAACAGGAUUAGAUACCCUGGUAGUCCACGCCCUAAACGAUGKCUACUAGUUGKCGGGUUUUAAUUAACUUGGUAACGCAGCUAACGCGUGAAGUARACCGCCUGGGGAAGUACGGUCGCAAGAUUAAAACUCAAAGGAAUUGACGGGGACCCGCACAAGCGGUGGAUGAUGUGGAUUAAUUCGAUGCAACGCGAAAAACCUUACCUACCCUUGACAUGGAAGGAAUCCCGAAGAGAUUUGGGAGUGCCCGAAAGGGAACCUUCACACAGGUGCUGCAUGGCUGUCGUCAGCUCGUGUCGUGAGAUGUUGGGUUAAGUCCCGCAACGAGCGCAACCCUUGUCAUUAGUUGCUACGCAAGAGCACUCUAAUGAGACUGCCGGUGACAAACCGGAGGAAGGUGGGGAUGACGUCAAGUCCUCAUGGCCCUUAUGGGUAGGGCUUCACACGUCAUACAAUGGUACAUACAGAGGGCCGCCAACCCGCGAGGGGGAGCUAAUCCCAGAAAGUGUAUCGUAGUCCGGAUCGUAGUCUGCAACUCGACUACGUGAAGUUGGAAUCGCUAGUAAUCGCGGAUCAGCAUGCCGCGGUGAAUACGCUCCCGGGUCUUGUACACACCGCCCGUCACACCAUGGGAGCGGGUUUUACCAGAAGUAGGUAGCUUAACCGUAAGGAGGGCGCUUACCACGGUAGGAUUCGUGACUGGGGUG